GGGACUGUGGCUUAGUGUUAGAGUUCUUGCCUAGCAUGCAUGAAGCCCUAGGUCUGAUUCCUCAGUACCA
rnacentral:tRNA from 1 species